rnacentral:rRNA from 1 species
AGAGCGAACGCUGGCGGCAGGCCUAAUACAUGCAAGUCGAACGGAUCCUUCGGGAUUAGUGGCGGACGGGUGAGUAACACGUGGGAACGUGCCCUUUGGUUCGGAACAACUCAGGGAAACUUGAGCUAAUACCGAAAUGUGCCCUUCGGGGGAAAGAUUUAUCGCCAUUGGAGCGGCCCGCGUCUGAUUAGCUAGUUGGUGGGGUAAAGGCCCACCAAGGCGACGAUCAGUAGCUGGUCUGAGAGGAUGAUCAGCCACACUGGGACUGAGACACGGCCCAGACUCCUACGGGAGGCAGCAGUAGGGAAUCUUGCGCAAUGGGCGAAAGCCUGACGCAGCCAUGCCGCGUGAAUGAUGAAGGUCUUAGGAUUGUAAAAUUCUUUCAGUCGGGGACGAUAAUGACGGUACCGCAGAAGAAGCCCCGGCUAACUUCGUGCCAGCAGCCGC